rnacentral:sRNA from 1 species
AAUGGCGCGCCCAGGACGGCUCUUGCGGCUGGCUGUCCAAACUGGGCCCGCGUCCUGAAGUGACCCCAGCCUGACCUCGGCCAGCUGCUUGUGACCUUGGCCUGUCCCAGCACCCUUGGUCACUUCGGUCUGAUCCCCGGCUCAGGAUCCAGGAACACCCUCUCCUGAGAGCGAAUCACGGUCUAGGGGUCAGCGGCGGAGAGGGAUGGGGUGGGUAAUGGGACAGGGUGUGCGUCUGGUGCCCUGCAGGAGGAGGCCAUUGCUGGGUGGAGAGGUGGGCGCAGAGAGUCAGAUCCCCAGGUAGGGCUGGGUGGUGUCCUGGCAGGCGCUGAGCGGAGAUCUUGCAGGCAGUGGCCUUGUCGUCGAAGUCUGGCCUUUCCCGAGGCCGGAAGGUGAUGCUGUCAGCGCUGGGCAUGCUGGCGGCAGGGGGUGCGGGGCUGGCCGUGGCUCUGCAUUCGGCUGUGAGUGCCAAUGACCUGGAGCUGCACCCCCCCAGCUAUCCGUGGUCUCACCGUGGCCUCCUCUCUUCCUUGGACCACACCAGGUAUAUAAGCAGGUGUGCGCCUCCUGCCACAGCAUGGACUUCGUGGCUUACCGCCACCUGGUGGGCGUGUGCUACACGGAGGAUGAAGCUAAGGAGCUGGCUGCGGAGGUGGAGGUUCAAGACGGCCCCAAUGAAAAUGGGGAGAUGUUCAUGCGGCCAGGGAAGCUGUUCGACUAUUUCCCAAAACCAUACCCCAACAGUGAGGCUGCUCGAGCUGCCAACAACGGAGCAUUGCCCCCUGACCUCAGCUACAUCGUGCGAGCUAGGUACACGGGCUGCCCAUGGGG